CAGUCCCUGUCAGGACACAACAUGGACAUGAGGGUCCCCGCUCAGCUCCUGGGGCUUCUGCUGCUCUGGCUCCCAGGUGCCAGCUGUGACAUCCAGAUGACCCAGUCUCCACCCUCCCUGUCUGCAUCUCUAGGAGACACAGUUACCAUCACUUGCCGGGCCAGUCAGAGUAUUAGCAAUUAUUUAAGUUGGUAUCAGCAGAAACCAGGGAAAUCUCCUAAGCUCCUGAUCUGUUGGGCAUCCACUUUGCAAUCUGGGGUCCCAUCAAGGUUCAGUGGCAGGGGGUCUGGGACAGAGUUCACCCUCACCAUCAGUGGCCUGCAGGCUGAAGAUGUUACAGAUUAUUACUGUCAACAAGGUUACAGCUCUGCUCCCACAGUGUUACAAGCCUGA